GAUGAACGCUGGCGGCGUGCUUAACACAUGCAAGUCGAACGAGCCUUCGGGCUAGUGGCGGACGGGUGAGUAACGCGUGGGAAUCUGCCCUCAGGAGGGGGAUAACGGCCGGAAACGGCCGCUAAUACCCCAUAUGCCGAGAGGUGAAACGAAUUUCGCCUGAGGAUGAGCCCGCGUCUGAUUAGCUAGUUGGUGGGGUAAUGGCCCACCAAGGCGACGAUCAGUAGCUGGUCUGAGAGGAUGAUCAGCCACACUGGGACUGAGACACGGCCCAGACUCCUACGGGAGGCAGCAGUGGGGAAUUUUCCGCAAUGGGCGAAAGCCUGACGGAGCAACGCCGCGUGAGGGAUGAAGGCCUCUGGGCUGUAAACCUCUUUUCUCAAGGAAGAAGACAUGACGGUACUUGAGGAAUAAGCCACGGCUAAUUCCGUGCCAGCAGCCGCGGUAAUACGGGAGUGGCAAGCGUUAUCCGGAAUUAUUGGGCGUAAAGCGUCCGCAGGCGGCCUUGUAAGUCUGUCGUUAAAGCGUGGAGCUCAACUCCAUUUAAGCGAUGGAAACUACAAGGCUUGAGUGUGGUAGGGGCAGAGGGAAUUCCCGGUGUAGCGGUGAAAUGCGUAGAUAUCGGGAAGAACACCAGUGGCGAAGGCGCUCUGCUGGGCCAUAACUGACGCUCAUGGACGAAAGCCAGGGAGCGAAAGGGAUUAGAUACCCCUGUAGUCCUGGCCGUAAACGAUGAACACUAGGUGUCGGGGGAAUCGACCCCCUCGGUGUCGUAGCUAACGCGUUAAGUGUUCCGCCUGGGGAGUACGCACGCAAGUGUGAAACUCAAAGGAAUUGACGGGGGCCCGCACAAGCGGUGGAGUAUGUGGUUUAAUUCGAUGCAACGCGAAGAACCUUACCAGGGUUUGACAUCCUGCGAAUCCCUUGGAAACGAGGGAGUGCCUUCGGGAGCGCAGAGACAGGUGGUGCAUGGCUGUCGUCAGCUCGUGUCGUGAGAUGUUGGGUUAAGUCCCGCAACGAGCGCAACCCACGUCUUUAGUUGCCAGCAUUUAGUUGGGCACUCUAGAGAGACCGCCGGUGAUAAACCGGAGGAAGGUGUGGAUGACGUCAAGUCAUCAUGCCCCUUACAUCCUGGGCUACACACGUACUACAAUGCUACGGACAAAGGGUUGCAAGCUCGCGAGAGUUAGCUAAUCCCAUAAACCGUGGCUCAGUUCAGAUCGUAGGCUGCAACUCGCCUACGUGAAGGAGGAAUCGCUAGUAAUCGCAGGUCAGCAUACUGCGGUGAAUACGUUCCCGGGCCUUGUACACACCGCCCGUCACACCAUGGAAGUUGGCCAUGCCCGAAGUCGUUACUCCAACCCUUGUGGAGGAGGACGCCGAAGGUGGGGCUGAUGACUGGGGUG
rnacentral:rRNA from 1 species